GACGAACGCUGGCGGCGUGCUUAACACAUGCAAGUCGAACGCUGAAGCUCAGCUUGCUGGGUGGAUGAGUGGCGAACGGGUGAGUAACACGUGAGUAACCUGCCCUCUUCUUUGGGAUAACGCCCGGAAACGGGUGCUAAUACUGGAUAUUCACUGAUUCUCGCAUGGGGGUUGGUGGAAAGGUUUUUUCUGGUGGGGGAUGGGCUCGCGGCCUAUCAGCUUGUUGGUGGGGUGAUGGCCUACCAAGGCUUUGACGGGUAGCCGGCCUGAGAGGGUGACCGGUCACAUUGGGACUGAGAUACGGCCCAGACUCCUACGGGAGGCAGCAGUGGGGAAUAGUGCACAAUGGGCGAAAGCCUGAUGCAGCGACGCCGCGUGAGGGAUGGAGGCCUUCGGGGUGUAAACCUCUUUCGCUCAUGGUCAAGCCGCAGCUUUGGGUUGUGGUGAGGGUAGUGGGUAAAGAAGCGCCGGCUAACUACGUG
rnacentral:rRNA from 1 species